UUCAUUUUCUUGCAAUUUUUCCUUCUCAAUGCAACCUUUUACUGUUCCUCUUUCUCGAUGCAGCCUUUCUCGAUGCAGCGUUUCUUUUCCUUCAAAUUUUUUCUUCUCGAUGCAACCUUCCAAUGAAUCUCAUCAUGAGCAGCCUUCGGAUUUAGGGAUUAUAAAUAGGAAACAAAACUGAAAGAGGAAACAUUAAUGCAGAACAAUUUUUGAUGGGUUUCAUGUGUUUUUUGUGGUUGUGGUCAAGUGUUGUGAGGAGGAUUUUAUGUUGAAGGCUAUGAGUUUGUGACAAUGCCAUCUACGGAGAAUCAGAGCUCUUCUGCUUCUUCAUCGUUUUACUCCUUUGGCCCGUUAUUCUGUAUUAGGCAUGAACAGGUUCAUUCUGUGGAAGCAAAUCAUGAAUCAAAUUCAUGUAAUUUGGAGAUAAGUAUUAAUUUACUUAAUGUGUUAGUCUAUAUCAAUAUUCUGUUUGUUCUUUCUGUUUAAUAUUUUUUAAUUUAACAUUAAAAGUUGUAAGGGAAGUUUUGUUCUCUUAACUUUUGUUGUUGUUGUUGUUUUAUUCUAACAUUUAUAAAAUGAAAAUGGUAGAGUAUUGUAUCUGUUUGCUCAUCAUUCACAUACUGGGGCGUUUGCUGUCUCUGAUGUCUCUGUUGUCAGUGGUUAUGGAUUUAGGACAAAAAACCGUUGGCCAGAUUUUCUUCUGGUGACUUUGUUAUUUCCGAUUAUCCAAUCACAUAUUCUAGAAAACAAAGUCGAGUGAAUGUCACCGAGCUUUCUACCUUGUGAGAUUCUAGAAAACAAAGUCGAGUGAAUGUCACCAAGCUUUCUACCUUGUGAGAUUCUAGAAAAUCAUUCAAAUAUCUCGAGGAUUCAAUGGGAUAUGUGAUAUGGAAAUGAAAAUCCAGGAUCGAAUUUCUUGCUUAAGGUGAAUGCCUAUUUUAAAUUAUCCUUUUCUCCUGCAUUAUUCAUUUUAUUUAAGUUAGCUUGGGAGGGGAGGAUGCAUGGUUGGUGAAGAUUAAUAGUUGAACUUGAAAAUAUUUUAUUUUCGAGGUAUUUUCUGGUAUUCAAGCCAUGGUGUAACAAUACUAUUGGUAUUAUAUCUCAUAUGGGCUUGUCAUAGUUACUCUGAAAAGACUUCGGUCAUGGUAUGUACCAUCAAUGAAAAAAUGUUUUACAUUGCUAUUAUUUCUUGGAAAUAUUCUGACAUAUCAAUAUGUAUUGUUUUUAUUUAUACUAAAGUGAUAUUAGGGGUAUAAUAAUUAAUUCUAGCCUUUAAUAUAGUAGAUGUUAGUGUUACACUAAAAAUUCAUAUCAGUUACACUUUGAGCAAUGAUUCAAAAGUCAACCUUUAUUUUUCAAAGAUCUGAAACGUGUUUUUUUAUUAUCUUUAACUUUUAUUUGUUAAAGCUAGCAUGAUUAGUUACUCAUUAUCAUACAGUUCUUUCUGCAAACAGUAUCGGAGACUACCUCCUUCAUGUAAUACAAAACCUUUUUAAAGACUUGGAAGCACUGGAUCGAAUGCAUAAAGAAGACCUUGACAUUAUUACGAAGGAAAGAUCAGGGAAAAGUUAUAGUAGUAUGACUAAGGUGAGCUCUCAUGUUAGGCUGGCAUCAUCAGUGAGCACCUUCUCUAGUGAUCUCUCAUGUUAGGCUGGCAUCAUCAGUGAACACCUUCUCUGAUGAUGGUGGUUUUCUUGGAAACUGACAUAAAAAAAGUCUAAUUCUCCUAAACUGUACAUUGUUUUACUAACAUAGUAUGAUACAAGGGGUAGACUUUUCGCUAAGGUUUUAAUCCUGGUGCACUCUCUCCAUUAUUGUCUAUAUUGUGGAGUAGUCUUUUUCAAUAAAUCAAACAUGACCAAUGAGCAUUCAUUUCGCUAGAGAAAUUGUUUCAAGUUUGUUUGGAUUUGUUGAAUAUUGUUUAAGGUAGUUUCAAAUAAAGUAAUGUAAUUUUCUUUUUCAUGGCAAAUUUAAGUAAGCAAAUCUAUUAAGAGUAUUGUAAUUUGAUCAUAUAGAUGUGUUGAAUGCAUUGCUGCUUCUGAAUUAGUUUA